CCAAAUCACCCGCGAGUCUCGCCCCACUCCACCCCAGCCGCCGAACAAACCCUAACCCCUUUCUCUUUCCCCUCGAUCCCCACGAGCUCCCUCUCUACCUCCCAAUGCAUACUUUCCUCGCCCGUAGCCAUCGGCUUUGUCUGUCCACCCGCCUCCUCCUCUCCUCUACACGGUGGUCGAUCUCAUCGCUGGCCUUCUCCUCUGCUUGCCUCCUCCUGUCCUCUUCCAUGUCGCCGUCGAUCCAGAUCGGACGUACAUCGUCGUGGGAGAGCAGCGGCGGCUGGGUCUUCAUGGUGCGGGUGAGGAUGUAGGGGAGGGGUAGGAUGCAGACGACAAGGAGAAGGAGGAGGCCGGCGAGGAAGUGAAGCAGCAGCGGGGAAGGAGCAGGAGAGCGAUCCUAGCAGGGGGAAGGGGCAGGGUGAGGCCUUGCCGGCAGGUUGACUUGUCGCGCCACCACGUCGUCGCCUCCUCUGCGCCAUGAGAGGCGCCACCUCUGCCUCCACCCCCACUGGGAAAGGAGCUCGAGGUGAACAGGAGGUGUGGAAAGGCGAGAGGAAGCAAGAGCUCGUCCCUCCUCCCAUGGCCGCCUCGUGGAUCUGGAGUACAAGGAGGACAACACGUGCCUGUUGCAGGCGGCUUGAGCGACGCGAACCAGGCUCACUAAUGGAGCAUGCCUAAUCUUGGACUGCAUUUAUUGCCUGGUGUUGGGUGCUUUGGAUGGUGGUCUUGAUAUUCCGCAUAGUGACAAGAGAUUUGGUGGCUUCAAGAAGGAUGAGAAGCAGCUGGACACUAAGAUUCACCUCAAAUUCAUUUAUGAAGAUCAUGUUGUUGACUGCAUGAAGCUGAUGAGGAUCCUGAGAAAUGCCAAUUUCACUUUAAUGGGUACAUCAAGAAGGGGAUUGCGGCUGAUGACAUGGAAGCACUGUACAAGAAGGUUCAUGCUGCCAUUUGUGCUGAUCCUACCAUGGCAAAAUCAACCAAGGAACCUCCGAAGACGCACAAGAGGACUGUUCGCUGCACGUAUAAUCUCAAGAAGCGUUGAGGUAGGUGACACAACUUGCCAUGUAUGUGAUGUUGCAACUCAAAAUUAAGAUGUUGUCAAUCCAAUAAGAGAAGGCAAGGAGCUAUUGGUGAUCGUGUGGUGCGCGACCUUAUACUGGAUCAUGAAGUUUACCAGUAUGUAGUAAUGGGUUUCAAAAUGUAUCCAAGAUUGCAGGAAGUUAAUUACACCAUCAGUGGAAGAUGGACAUAGCCCCUCAGGACCCAUGGAAGCAUUAGGAACUGGUCCGCAACGUCUUCCAGUGUACGCGUACACACAAUUCGCUUUCCUUUUCUUUUCAAACUUUUUAUAGAUGAUGUGGUUGAGUUACUAAGCCUCUUCUUGCUGUGUCGUCUGCGAGGCCGAAGGGUGUGAGCAAUUUAACUGAGGCUGAUGCAAUCUUUGGACCAGUAGUGACGCCAGUGCCUGUAUAUCCCAUGACUGGUUCUUUCAGCUCAAUAUCCAUACACUACUUGUUUGUAUUCUGUAUUCCAAUGCAAAUUAUGAUUGUUGUUGAACACUUCUGCAUGUAAGUGCACUACUCUCUGUACUAAAAAAAUGUCACUUCACUACCACAAUGCUAGCAUGCAUUCUUUUUUACAAUUGUUCAUCUUCUUUCUCCUCUGUUCGUCACUAAGAUUCAUCUAUGACCACCUCUUUGAGGAGAUCAACUAAUCUUGUUGCAGUUUUUGUUGAAACAUUGAUUAGGUGCUCCAAGAAUGUAUGUGAGCUUGACAUUGUAUUUAACUUCAUCAAGGUACAAUGAUACAUUAUCCACUGAUUGUUGUAGUGAAAUGUCGCUGUAGCUAUUAAUUUGCAGAAUCUUGCAUGACAAACUAUAGGCAUGUGAUCUCUAUGGUGUUCCAGUAAAUAAAGAAAACUGGAAUAUGUGCCUUCAAUUUUUUUAUGACAAACCAUGCAUUGGUACAUAUGAAUGCAUUGGUACAUAUGAACCAUGCAUUGUUGUAGUGAAAUGUCGCUGUAGCUAUUAAUUUUUUUUAUGACAAACCAUGCAUUGGUACAUAUGAACCAUAUGAAUAGGACUGAAGAUCUAUUUUUCUGUCAUGUUUGUGAGUUUUCUGUUAUUUCCUCUCAGUGUGAAUAGGACUGAAGAAGAUGGACAUAGCCCUUUAGGUAAUUUCACUUUUUUUGAACAGCAAACCAUAGAACAAUAGUUCUAUGGUAUAUUUUCAUUAAAAACAGUAUGUUACAAAGGGAAAGGAGAAAAUAGAAACAAAAGAAAAAAGAUCUAAGCUAAUGGGGCAAUGCCCUUAUCCAAUUUAUGUUUUGGGCAACAUGAGAAUCAUUUAAAAAUUGAUCUGGCAGCCUGCUUGAACAAGGUGGAAUGCUCGUCUUUGAUCUUGUGUUGAAGUAGUUGAAGAUCCUUUUUUAAUUCAAGCCUCUAAUUUGAGACUGUCGGCUGGAUGUUUCUGAAGACCUUGCCAUCUCACUUUGUCCUGGAUUAAUAAAAGAUUACAAAUUUAUUUGUCUAAAUAGGACAGGUUAUUUACGAAGGUAUACCAUUUCUAUUGACUGGAUAAUUUACAUGUUGGCAAGGACUUAUUGGUGCAGCCUGGUCAUAAUUGCUCGGCCAAUUUCCCAACCCAAAUCCAGAACCACUUCAUCUUUCGAUCUUUACAUGAUUGAUGAAAUGCCUUAGACACUAAGAUCUGCACUUUGUUUUUCUCCGUUCUCAUACUCACAGAUUAACCGAUGGCUGUAAGACCUAGAGAAGCAUUAGGAACUGGUCUGUAGUGUCUUCCAGUGUAUGCGUACACACAAUUCACUUUCCUUUUCUUUUUGCCCUUUGUAUAGAUGAUGUGGUUGAGUUACGAAGCCUCUUAUUGCAGUGUUGUCUGCAAGGCCGAAGGGAAGUUAUUAAUGCAUUUGAGCUGCUCUAUCUGAUUGCUCAUCUCCUGAACCUGUUUUAGUUGAUAUAAAAGUGUUCUCUAUUUCAGAAAGCCAGAACACGAGAUUGUGCCCCCUCUUGCUCCAGGCUAUUCCUCAUGUUGCAACCUUUUCCCAUAGAAUUGAAAGGAAGAUGGAAGAAAUUGCAGGAGCUUGCUAUUAUUUGAGCAGGAAUGGUGUUUCCAGCAUGACAUUCAAAACCAGUCAAGACUAUAAAGGGGCUGUGAAGGACGAAAUGCUAUGGAUCCAGAGUGGGAGGGGAGAGUUACCAACAAUGUAUCAAGGAUAAACCGUGACAUGGAUUCCUAAGUUCCAACUUACAUAGCAAAAUUAUAUAGGGAGAAUGCCUACAUUUUGAAAACUCUAUUACAUAGUUUGAAGUUAUUGUACACAAUGGAACUGAACAUGUAGAGCAAAAGAGACGAGCCUUGCAUGGCAAUAAAAUUUCAUGCAGAUGUCGCUCCAUGGUGGGCGCAAAGGCAACCCCCUCCACCCAUUUCGGAUUGUAAUCAAGAAGAAGAUAACUGUUUUGAGUGGGAUUCAGAAGGAGAAGACCACUCAUAUUUACCCCCUGAGGUCUUCUCUCUAACUUGCCAUUCGGCACGGAUAUGGAAAAAUCGGGAGUGGAAACAAGGUCUUCAGAGCGGAC